CCUACGGGAGGCAGCAGUGGGGAAUAUUGGACAAUGGGGGAAACCCUGAUCCAGCGAUGCCGCGUGAGUGAAGAAGUAUUUCGGUACGUAAAGCUCUAUCAGCAGGAAAGUAAAUUACUGUACCUGACUAAUAAGCCCCGGCUAACUUCGUGCCAGCAGCCGCGGUAAUACGUAGGGGGCCAGCGUUAUCCGGAUUUACUGGGUGUAAAGGGAGCGUAGACGGCAGCACAAGUCUGGAGUGAAAUCCCGGGGCUUAACCCCGGAACUGCUUUGGAAACUGUGCAGCUGGAGUGCAGGAGGGGUGAGCGGAAUGCCUGGUGUAGCGGUGAAAUGCGUAGAUAUUAGGAGGAACACCGGUGGCGAAGGCGGCUUACUGGACUGUAACUGACGUUGAGGCUCGAAAGCGUGGGGAGCAAACAGGAUUAGAUACCCUUGUAGUC
rnacentral:rRNA from 1 species